rnacentral:rRNA from 1 species
UACGGAGGGGGCUAGCGUUGUUCGGAAUUACUGGGCGUAAAGCGCACGUAGGCGGCCUUUUAAGUCAGGGGUGAAAUCCCGGGGCUCAACCCCGGAACUGCCCUUGAAACUGGGAGGCUAGAAUCUUGGAGAGGCGAGUGGAAUUCCGAGUGUAGAGGUGAAAUUCGUAGAUAUUCGGAAGAACACCAGUGGCGAAGGCGACUCGCUGGACAAGCAUUGACGCUGAGGUGCGAAAGCGUGGGGAGCAAACAGG